GACGAACGCUGGCGGCGUGCUUAACACAUGCAAGUCGAACGGAAAGGCCCUGCUUUUGUGGGGUGCUCGAGUGGCGAACGGGUGAGUAACACGUGAGUAACCUGCCCUUGACUUUGGGAUAACUUCAGGAAACUGGGGCUAAUACCGGAUAGGAGCUCCUGCUGCAUGGUGGGGGUUGGAAAGUUUCGGCGGUUGGGGAUGGACUCGCGGCUUAUCAGCUUGUUGGUGGGGUAGUGGCUUACCAAGGCUUUGACGGGUAGCCGGCCUGAGAGGGUGACCGGCCACAUUGGGACUGAGAUACGGCCCAGACUCCUACGGGAGGCAGCAGUGGGGAAUAUUGCACAAUGGGCGGAAGCCUGAUGCAGCAACGCCGCGUGCGGGAUGACGGCCUUCGGGUUGUAAACCGCUUUCGCCUGUGACGAAGCGUGAGUGACGGUAAUGGGUAAAGAAGCACCGGCUAACUACGUGCCAGCAGCCGCGGUGAUACGUAGGGUGCGAGCGUUGUCCGGAUUUAUUGGGCGUAAAGGGCUCGUAGGUGGUUGAUCGCGUCGGAAGUGUAAUCUUGGGGCUUAACCCUGAGCGUGCUUUCGAUACGGGUUGACUUGAGGAAGGUAGGGGAGAAUGGAAUUCCUGGUGGAGCGGUGGAAUGCGCAGAUAUCAGGAGGAACACCAGUGGCGAAGGCGGUUCUCUGGGCCUUUCCUGACGCUGAGGAGCGAAAGCGUGGGGAGCGAACAGGCUUAGAUACCCUGGUAGUCCACGCUGUAAACGGUGGGUACUAGGUGUGGGGUCCAUUCCACGGGUUCCGUGCCGUAGCUAACGCUUUAAGUACCCCGCCUGGGGAGUACGGCCGCAAGGCUAAAACUCAAAGGAAUUGACGGGGCCCCGCACAAGCGGCGGAGCAUGCGGAUUAAUUCGAUGCAACGCGUAGAACCUUACCUGGGUUUGACAUGGAUCGGGAGUGCUCAGAGAUGGGUGUGCCUCUUUUGGGGCCGGUUCACAGGUGGUGCAUGGCUGUCGUCAGCUCGUGUCGUGAGAUGUUGGGUUAAGUCCCGCAACGAGCGCAACCCUUGUUCACUGUUGCCAGCACGUUAUGGUGGGGACUCAGUGGAGACCGCCGGGGUCAACUCGGAGGAAGGUGGGGAUGACGUCAAGUCAUCAUGCCCCUUAUGUCCAGGGCUUCACGCAUGCUACAAUGGCUGGUACAGAGAGUGGCGAGCCUGUGAGGGUGAGCGAAUCUCGGAAAGUCGGUCUCAGUUCGGAUUGGGGUCUGCAACUCGACCUCAUGAAGUCGGAGUCGCUAGUAAUCGCAGAUCAGCAACGCUGCGGUGAAUACGUUCCCAGGGCU
rnacentral:rRNA from 1 species